rnacentral:rRNA from 1 species
ACAGCAGCAGCCGCGGGAAUACAGAGGGUGCGAGCGUUAAUCGGAUUUACUGGGCGUAAAGCGUGCGUAGGCGGCUUUUUAAGUCGGAUGUGAAAUCCCUGAGCUUAACUUAGGAAUUGCAUUCGAUACUGGGAAGCUAGAGUAUGGGAGAGGAUGGUAGAAUUCCAGGUGUAGCGGUGAAAUGCGUAGAGAUCUGGAGGAAUACCGAUGGCGAAGGCAGCCAUCUGGCCUAAUACUGACGCUGAGGUACGAAAGCAUGGGGAGCAAACAGGAUUAGAUACCCCGGUAGUCCCUGUCUCUUAUAC